rnacentral:tRNA from 1 species
GCCACCGUAGCUCAGAUGGUAGAGCAGACGAUUCGUAAUCGUCCGGUCAAGGGUUCGACUCCCUUCGGUGGCUCUA